ACUCUAUAGAAUGAGUGAAGAAAGUAGGUGGAUAUGAACCACAACAAUUUCCUCGUAAGCUAAAUAUUUGAAUCAACAUUUUUUUUCAUUUUUCUUUUAGCUUUCAUUAUUUUAAGACUUCUAAAUUGCGUUUUUAAUAAUCCGGCAAUGUUGUGUUGAAGAAAUUUUAAGCUUUUUAAAAAGGAUAAAACCAAUUUUUGCUAAGAUUCAAAUUCUCCUCUGUCCGAAUAAAAACCUGCUCGGUUGACAAUUUACCUGUAGUUAUAAAUAAACACUAAUUUGGCAGAUUACAACAAAGUUCAGCCAGCAACUAAACAUGUAAUUUUUGUCUUUAAUUUAAUUUAAAAGUUAGUUACAGUCGUCAUGUUCUGCGUAACAAAUAUUGUGUAGCUGACGAAGGUCGGACGACACAAAUUUCCAAGUAUGGUAUGGAGUUUAAAAAGUUGUUAGUGGCUCAUGGUCGCCUGGCGCCUACUCUCCUCGCUCGGGGAGAAUUAUUUUUUAUUUUAUUAACAUGCUGUUGAGUUGAUGUAGUUGACAAUCUCGUGGUCAAUUAACUUAAUUGUAAUCUCAAGGAUUUAGAUCAGGGGCGUAUUCAGGAGUUUGUCCCAUUGUCAUCCUUUCCAUAUACGCCCCUGAUUUCAACAAAGAAAAGCCUCUUUAAAGGUCUGUGAAAAUAUUUUUUUUGAAAUGCAAGCAAUCGAAUUUUCUGAAAUUCCAAAAUUAAUAUACUGCUAAAGGCCCAGAAUAUGAAGCCAUAAAGCCUUGCAGGAGAGUGGGGGAAGGUGGCCUUGUCCCCCUUCUUCCAUGCCACAUUAAGAUUUGAAUGCACCAAAUUUACCAUCUAAAAAAAGUAUUAAUUGACGAGAAAAAUGUUGAGGCAUAGAUGACCGAAUGGUUGUGGCUCAUGGCUGCCGGAAGACAAAAGAGCUAAUAUGUGGCAUGGAAGGUAAAAGUUGUGGAUCAUGGCCGCCUGUAUUCCCCCGCUCUUUAGGGUUGACUAUUAAUUCUACUAAAUUUUAAUACCAAAUUUGAAAAUGUGAUUAAAUAUUGUUGCAGGGUUCUUUAUAUUUCAUAUAAUCGUAAUAAAUUAAUGCUACCUGUUAAA